CAGUCGCCACGGUAAUACGUAGGUCCCGAGCGUUGUCCGGAUUUAUUGGGCGUAAAGGGAGCGCAGGCGGUUUAGUAAGUCUGAAGUUAAAGGCAUUGGCUCAACCAAUGUAUGCUUUGGAAACUGUUAGACUUGAGUGCAGAAGGGGAGAGUGGAAUUCCAUGUGUAGCGGUGAAAUGCGUAGAUAUAUGGAGGAACACCGGUGGCGAAAGCGGCUCUCUGGUCUGUCACUGACGCUGAGGCUCGAAAGCGUGGGUAGCGAACAGGAUUAGAUACCCGUGUAGUCCCUGUCUCUUAUACA
rnacentral:rRNA from 1 species